UUAGAAAACCUGGGUCAGGGGAGAGAGGAAGUAAUUAGUUGGAGAUAACCUGUGAACAUUGAAUUUAUACAAGUCAUCACAAUUUGUCACUAAAUGCUCAGGAGUAUGAAAGGGUCAUGUUUACAUUUUUUAAAUUAAAGAAUUAACUGCAUCUUUCUGAUAGAGGACAUCCUUUCUGCAUUGUUUGAAUUAAUGGACUUUUUUCAUAUAGAUAAGACCAUAAGCUAAUACUGAAGUGAUUUCUAAGCAUCAGACAAUGACCCAAUUCUGUUUCAAUCACUGUUCACCAAGUACCUGUUGAAUGAAGAACUAUGGUAUGGUCACUAAUAAAGAGUGAAAGCAAUCCAAGUGUCCCUAAAGGCAGGUGAGUAAGGCUUUAUCUAGAAGAUGUAGAAACUGAUACCCAAAUUUGCUGCCUGAAUACUUGCUUUGACAAUGGCAAUGUUCUUUAUUUCAUCUUAGUUGGUGUCUGGCACACUAAUCUGUCCUGUGCUGCUUCAAAGAAGCAUUUGCCAGCGUGAGAACAUAGGGCUCCGUGAAGGUUUUCCUCGCCUCUGAUCACCGAAGCAAGGGGAGCGAUAGACAGCAACAGUUAAAUGAUUCUCUUCUUCCAUAGCCUUUCGGUAUCAGAGGGUGAAUGGUUUUAAGUACCACUGGUUUAUAUAGAAUUCUGACUGGUUCAGGAUUGGAGUCUAUUGAAUUUGGCAACUUACUGCUUUUCUUGUUUUGCAUCUGCGGUAUCUCUGAUAAUGGUUUUUUUGUGACUUAGAAAACAAAAAUAAAACCUAAUCACAGGAUAAUCAGAAGUGAAAAUCUUGGCAGGUGUACAUGUGGAUUGACUGAUUUGUUCAAGUCCAGGUUGUGGUAUCAGGAUACAGUUGUCUUUCAGAAGUCCUUGAAACUAAAUAGCUUAAAGGAAUGACUGUUGAUACUUGUGCAUUCAGUCUAAAAGUAGAAAAGACAUUGUACAUCCUUAGUUUAAACGCUAGAGAAGUGAUCUUUUACAACUGUAAGGCCCUUAUUUUUAAUACGACUUAAGUCUUCUUCCAAAUAAUGUUUGGAUCUAAACUAGUCGGUCUUCUGUAUUAUGUUUUCUGUACUAUCUUGAUUCCCCAAACACAAGUAUUUUAUAUAGUGUAACUUUGUUUUCUCCCCUCUGAUUAAGAAUA